rnacentral:rRNA from 1 species
UACGUAGGGGGCUAGCGUUGUCCGGAAUCAUUGGGCGUAAAGAGCGCGUAGGCGGCCAGAUAAGUCCGGUGUGAAAGUCAAAGGCUCAACCUUUGAAUGCCGCUGGAAACUGUCUGGCUAGAGUCCGGGAGGGGCGAGUGGAAUUCCUGGUGUAGCGGUGAAAUGCGCAGAUAUCAGGAGGAACACCGAUGGCGAAGGCAGCUCGCUGGAACGGUACUGACGCUGAGGCGCGAAAGCGUGGGGAGCGAACAGG